rnacentral:rRNA from 1 species
UACGGGGGGGGCAAGCGUUGUUCGGAAUUACUGGGCGUAAAGGGCUCGUAGGCGGCCGACUAAGUCAGGCGUGAAAUCCCUCAGCUUAACUGGGGAACUGCGUCUGAUACUGGUCGGCUUGAGUGCAGGAGAGGAACGCGGAAUUCCAGGUGUAGCGGUGAAAUGCGUAGAUAUCUGGAGGAACACAGGUGGCGAAGGCGGCGUUCUGGACUGCAACUGACACUGAUGAACGAAAGCCAGGGGAGCAAACAGG